rnacentral:rRNA from 1 species
AUGACCGGACGAAACCAAGAAAUAAUACCUUAUGUGCGGAAUUAUAGAAGAUCCCCUUUACGAUCAAACAAUUCCAUCGAAUUGAGUACAAAGCAAAUUGACCUUAAGAAAGGCCGGCUACUAGAGUUCAUGCCAGCGGCCAUGCCAGGGUCCACAGUCGAACAGGUUGCGGGUGGCGGGACGGUUGCUGGCGGGUAUCUCACGCGGUAA